UUUGAGGUAAAGACACAAAGGAGUUGAGAACAUAAAGAGAGCAAAGAGGUGAAGAGGAGGAAUGGGUUGAUCAUCCGUACAAGGCCGUACAAGUGAUCAUCCGUACAAGGUAAAAGGGGUCAAAGUAACUAUCCAAGUAACUCCCAUGUACUGAGCUUAAGUUACACUCGGCCAAGACCUUAUCCGAACGUUGAGAGGAUAAGGGAGACGCGGCUUGACAGCUAGGACAGGCUGGCAAGAGCUGGAAAGGAAGAGCAUCUAGUCUUGGAUCAAGAAGAUGCUCCAAACGUGUGAAGACACUCAUUGGCCGGUUCAAAUUAAAGCUUAGGCUCCUCUUUGACUCUACAUGCUUACUUAGCUUUAUGAUUUCGAAAACCCUAAGUGUAUGGACCUAUAUAUAUGUAAUCUCAUCCCUUAAUAAAGAUUAGACAGUUCUAAACAAUCUUUCUCUUUACUCAUUUCAUCAUGAUUCUCCAUUAGCCUCUAAUCAGUCUCUUAAAUCUCUUAUUCUCUUCCUUAAUCCUAUUCUAAACUCAGAUUAAUCUUUAUAUUCCUAAAAUUCAUAUGGUAUCAGAGCCAGGUUGAUUACAAUCUGAGUUCUUUGGUAGCUCUCUUAAAGAUUCAAGGUUGAAAUCUUUGAGAGGUCUAGUGAGUGCGUUGAAGGUUUCUUUGAAGUUCCAAGCUCAAGGUCGAUUCUUUGUGACUUGGUGAUACUUUGAGGGUUCAUUUGAGGACUCAAGAGUGAAGGUGUGUUCUGGAGAGCUGUGUGAGUUCUCAGUACAAGAUCUAGUCUUUUGUUCAAGCUGUAGACGUCAAGCUGUUCAGAAUGGAGAGUGGCAUGAAGAUGAAGGUCGCGGUGACAUUCAAGGGGAGCAACUACCUAGUCUGGUCUAGGAUGGUGAAGACUGCUGUGGGAAGCAAGGGUCUGUGGAAGCAUAUCACAUCUGGUGAGGCUCCAAUGGCGAUUACCCAAGGAGGUGAUAAGGAGAGCCCCACGGAGAGUGAUGUUGAGAAGUGGCAACAAGAAGACAUGAUGGUAAUAACAGUACUUCAUGCUUCAUUGGAGCCAGCUAUCUUAGAUGCUUAUAGCUACUGUGAGACAGCCAAGGAGCUGUGGGAUACUCUGAAGAAAGUGUAUGGGAACACUUCUAAUCUGAACCGGGUGUUUGAAGUCAAGAAGGCAAUCAAUGGGCUCACGCAAGAAGACAUGGAGUUUACUAAGCACUUAGGGAGGUUCCGGUCUCUGUGGUCUGAGUUGGAGAUGCUGAGGCCAAGCACGGUUGAUCCUGAGCUGCUGAAUGAGAGGCGUGAGCAGGAUAAGGUCAUUGGGUUGCUACUCACGUUGAACCCAAGCUACAAUGGCCUUAUCCAACAUAUGCUGAGGUCUGAGAAACUACCUGAUCUUGAGGAAGUGUGUGCGCAGAUACAGAAGGAGCAGGGCUCAAUGGGCUUGUUUGGAGGCAAGGGAGACUUGUCUCUUGCAAAUGCUGCGCAAUCUGACCGAGAAGAGACUCCACAAGCCAACAAAGCCACACACAACAAGUUUGAAGACAGGAAGUUCAAUGGAAGCUGUGAUCAUUGCAAGAAGCAUGGACACAAGAAGAGUCAGUGCUGGAUACUCCAUCCCCACUUGAAGCCAGCCAAGUUCAUGAAGGAGAGAGAAGCUAGAGCUCACAUGACUGAAGGAACAAGUGGAGCAGGGCCAUCUAACCGAGCUACUGAAGUGGAGAACCGUGAAGGUGAUGGCAAGGCUUUGGUGACCUAUACUGGAGCUAUCAACCCCCGAGGCAAUGAUCUCUUCAUCAGGAGAUCCGAGAUGGAUGCACUCAUCAAAAUGCUCAAGGAUAAUGGUAACAUUCAUGGGUAUUCAUUUGGUGCAUCUAUGAUUGCUAUAACUAUACAAAUGACUCCUAAUGUGGCUGAGAUUGCUAGGAUUGAUAGUAAGACUGGAAUUGAACAUUGCAUUGAUAGAAAUGCUAGGAUGAAUGCAUAUAGAUCACCAAUUAGUAUCUGCCAUAGUGCUAGCAAUACAUCCAAACCAUUGAUUAUAGAUUCUGGUGCAUCUCAUCAUAUGAUUAGUGACACCAACUUGAUUAAAGAUAUAGAACCUACUAAUGGAUGUGUGAUGAUUGCAAAUGGAGAUAAGAUAUCCAUCAAGGGUAUAGGAAACUUGAAGCUAUUUGAUAAGAACACUAGAGCAUUUUAUAUUCCGGAAUUCACAUCAAACCUACUUUCAGUUAAGAAAUGCACUACUGAUUUGAAUUGCAAUGUUAUAUUCAGUCCUAAUGAUGUGAAGUUUCAGGAUAUUGAGAGCAGCCAAUUGAUUGGAAAAGGAGUUACAAAGGGAGACUUAUACAUGCUUGAGAAGCUUGAUCAUGUUUCCAAUUAUAACUGCUCAUUUACUUCUGCUUCUAGUUUGAAUAAAAAUGCAUUGUGGCAUGCUAGAUUAGGACAUCCACAUGGGAGAGCUUUAAGCUUAAUGUUACCAGGUGUUGUUUUCGAAAAUAAGAAUUGUGAAGCUUGCAUUUUAGGCAAGCAUUGUAAGAAUGUUUUUCCAAGAACAUCUACUGUUUAUGAAAGUUGCUUUGAUUUAAUUCACACUGAUGUUUGGACUGCACCUAGCUUAUCUAGAGAUAAUCAUAAGUACUUUGUCACAUUCAUUGAUGAAAAAUCUAUAUACACCUGGUUAACACUAAUCCCAUCAAAAGAUAGGGUGAUAGAUGCAUUCAAGAACUUUCAAGCUUUUGUGACUAACCAUUAUCAUGCUAAGAUUAAAAUUUUGGAUCAGAUAAUGGAGGAGAGUACACAAGCUAUGCAUUCAAGAGUCAUCUAGAGCAUCAUGGAAUCCUUCACCAAACAAGCUGUCCUUACACACCUCAACAGAAUGGUGUGGCCGAGAGAAAGAACAGACACUUGAUGGAGGUGGCUCGGUCCCUGAUGUUUCAAGCCAAUGUACCUAAGAGGUUUUGGAGUGAUGCUGUGUCUACUGCAUGCUAUCUGAUUAACAGGAUGCCCACAAAGGUGUUGAAGGAUCAAGCACCAUUUGAAGUUCUGAACAAGCGCAAGCCAUCCUUGGAAUACAUGAGAGUCUUUGGAUGCUUAUGCUAUGUUCUAGUACCAGGAGAGUUGAGGAACAAGCUAGAAGCAAGAAGCAGAAAGGCAAUGUUCAUUGGCUACUCAACAACUCAAAAAGGAUAUAAAUGUUAUGAUCCAGAAGCUAAAAGGGUACUUGUAUCUAGAGAUGUGAAGUUUAUUGAAGAAAAGGGAUACUAUGAGGAGAAGAAUCAAGAAGACUUGAAGGAUCUCACAUCAGAUAAGGCUGGAGUCUUAAGGAUCAUUUUGGAAGGUCUCGGUAUCAAGAUGAACCAGGAUCAGUCCACAAGAAGUGGAAGUCAAGAAGAGAGCUCAAAUGAACCAAGUAGAGCUGCUCAAACACCUCACCUUGAUCAUGAGGGGGGAAAUGAACCUGAAACUCAAGAAAAUGGCCAAGAAGGUGUCGGCUUGAGUGAGGAAGGAGAAGAGAUCAACUCAGGUUCUCAUCAUCAAGGUGAGCAAUACCAAAGAGAUGAAGAACAUCAGAGUGAAGCACAAGAACCGAAUGCACAAGCUGAACCGGUUCAAGAGCAAGAACAACCAGUAUUGAGGAGAAGCACAAGGCUGAGAAAGGAUCCUUCCUCUUGGGUAAACACGCGAGUGUACCACAAUGCCCAAGCUGUGGAGCAUCCUUCCCAAGUUGUGUGUUCUUUUGCUCAAUACCCUGAAGAACAUUGUGCCUUCAUGGUUAACUUAGAUGAGAAUUACAUCCCAAGAAGCUAUGAAGAGGCAAUAAUGGAUAAAGAAUGGAAGGAGUCAGUUGGAGCUGAGGCAGGAGCUAUGAUCAAGAAUGAUACAUGGUAUGAGAGUGAGUUACCAAAAGGGAAGAAGGCUGUGACUAGUAGAUGGAUAUUCACAAUCAAGUAUAAGGCUGAUGGAAAGAUUGAGAGGAAGAAGUCAAGGUUGGUUGCAAGAGGUUUCACUCAAACUUAUGGAGAAGAUUACAUAGAAACCUUUGCACCAGUAGCUAAACUACAUACAAUCCGGAUUGUAUUGAGCUUGGCUGUGAACCUUGGAUGGGGCUUAUGGCAAAUGGAUGUGAAGAAUGCAUUCCUACAAGGAGAACUUGAGGAUGAAGUGUAUAUGCAUCCACCUCCAGGCCUGGAACACUUAGUGAAGAGAGGGAAUGUGUUAAGAUUGAAGAAAGCUAUCUAUGGGCUGAAGCAAUCACCAAGAGCUUGGUACAACAAGCUGAGCACUACUCUCAAUGGCCGAGGCUUCAAGAAGUCUGAACUAGAUCACACACUCUUCACUCUCACUACUCCCUCAGGUAUGAUUGCACUCCUUGUGUAUGUUGAUGAUAUCAUUAUCACAGGAAGUGAUAAGGAAGGUAUCAUAGCAACCAAGGAGUUUCUUAAAUCCAUGUUUGAGAUUAAAGACUUGGGAGAAAUGAAAUACUUUCUUGGAAUUGAGAUAUGUUGAUCCAAGGAAGGUUUAUUCAUGUCCCAAAGGAACUAUACACUUGAUCUUUUGAAAGGUGCAGGUGCUUAUGGAGGCAAGACAGCAAGGAUGCCUAUGGAGGAUGGCUACAAAGUCCCACGAGAGGGGGAGAUUGAAGACAGCAAGCCUUAUCAGGAUCCUAAACUCUAUAGAAAACUAGUUGGCAAAUUGAUUUAUCUUACCAUAACUAGACCUGACAUUUGCUUUGCUGUGAAUCAGGUGAGUCAACACAUGCAAGUGCCUAAGGAGAAUCAAUGGCGCAUGGUAGAGAGGAUCUUGAUGUAUCUCAACGGCUCACCUGAUCAAGGAGUAUGGAUGGGCUGCAAUGGAAGCACUGAAGUGGUGGGAUACUGUGAUGCGGAUUGGGCUGGUGAUAGAGCAGACAGGAGAUCAACCACAGGCUAUUGCACAUUCAUUGGAGGCAACUUGGUGACUUGGAAGAGUAAGAAGCAGAAGGUGGUGUCUUGCUCAAGUGCAGAAGCUGAGUAUAGAGCUAUGCUGAAGCUCACCAACGAGUUAGUAUGGAUCAAAGGCAUCUUGAAGCAUUUGGAGAUUGAUCAAGCCACGCCAAUGACCAUGCAUUGUGACAACCAAGCAGCUAUCCACAUUGCCUCCAACUCGGUGUUCCAUGAGAGAACCAAGCACAUUGAAGUUGAUUGCCACAAGGUGAGGCAGAUGAUCAUCCUAGGAGUCAUCUUGCCAUGCUACACAAGAUGUGAAGAUCAGUUAGCGGAUGUGUUCACCAAGGCUGCAAGACAGAAGACAAUGGAGUCCAUUCACAUAUGGUUGGGCCUCAUUGAUCUUGGGAAGAGAAGGAGCUGAUCCCCUUGGCUGUGAGGUCUUUACUCUUUUUCCCUUAUCAAGGUUUUAUCCCAAUGGGUUUUCCUUGGUAAGGUUUUUAAUGAGGAAGAUCUCAUAGCUGUCCAAGCUUAGGCUUUCACAAAGCUAAGCUUGAGGGGGAGUGUUGAGAUGAGUUGAGACAUUUGAGGUAAAGACACAAAGGAGUUGAGAACAUAAAGAGAACAAAGAGGUGAAGAGGAGGAAUGGGUUGAUCAUCCGUACAAGGCCGUACAAGUGAUCAGCCGUACAAGGUAAAAGGGGUCAAAGUAACUAUCCAAGUAACUCCCAUGUACUGAGCUUAAGUUACAAUCGGCCAAGACCUUAUCCGAACGUUGAGAGGAUAAGGGAGACGCGGCUUGAC
rnacentral:lncRNA from 1 species